AUUGAACGCUGGCGGCAGGCUUAACACAUGCAAGUCGAGCGAGCGGCGGACGGGUGAGUAAUGUCUGGGAAACUGCCUGAUGGAGGGGGAUCACUAGUGGGAAAGGUAGCUAAUACCGCAUUCCAUCAGUUGUGCCCAUAUGGGAUUAGCGAGUGGGUGGGGGAUUGGCUCACCUAGGCGACGAUCCCUAGCUGGUCUGAGAGGAUGACCAGCCACACUGGAACUGAGACACGGUCCAGACUCCUACGGGAGGCAGCAGGGGGGAAUAUUGCACAAUGGGCGAAAGCCUGAUGCAGCCAUGCCGCGUGUGUGAAGAAGGCCUUCGGGUUGUAAAGCACUUUCAGCGAGGAGGCGUUACUCGCAGAAGAAGCACCGGCUAACUCCGUGCCAGCAGCCGCGGUAAUUC
rnacentral:rRNA from 1 species